rnacentral:rRNA from 1 species
UACAGAGACCUCAAGCAUUAUCCGGAUUUAUUGGGCGUAAAGGGUCCGCAGGUGGCCCGGCACGUCAUCGGUCAAAUCUUCGGGCUCAACCCGAAAACCGCCGAUGAUACGGCCAAGGCUAGAGAGUGGGAGAGGCGAGCGGAAUUACCGGUGUAGUAGUAAAAUGCGUUAAUAUCGGUAAGAACACCAAAUGCGAAGGCAGCUCGCUGGAACACUUCUGACACUCAGGGACGAAAGCGUGGGGAGCGAA